rnacentral:rRNA from 1 species
AAUGAACGCUAGCGGGAUGCUUUACACAUGCAAGUCGAACGAGAGGCGGACGGGAGAGUAAUAUAGCGGAACGUGCCAAGUAGCGGGGGAUAACUACUGAAAAGAGUGGCUAAUACCGCAUACCUUUGGAGCGGGCGAUAACGGAUUAGGGAGUCGGUGGGGUAACGGCUCACCAAGGCAACGAUCCGUAGCUGGUUUGAGAGGAUGUCCCGCCACACUGGAACUUAGCCUGGGCCCAGACUCCGACGGUAUGCAGCAGUGGGGAAUUUUAGACAAUUGGUGACACCCUGAUCCCGCCAUCCCGCGUGUGUGAGAAGGCCUUCGGGUUGUAAAGUUCUGUGAUCAUGGAAGCGGUAUCUGCGGAAUAAGCACCGGCUAACUACGUGCCAGCAGCCGCGGUAAUUC